AACGAACGCUGGCGGCAUGCCUAACACAUGCAAGUCGAACGAAGCCUUCGGGCUUAGUGGCGCACGGGUGCGUAACGCGUGGGAAUCUGCCCUUGGGUUCGGAAUAACAGUUAGAAAUGACUGCUAAUACCGGAUGAUGUCUUCGGACCAAAGAUUUAUCGCCCAAGGAUGAGCCCGCGUAGGAUUAGGUAGUUGGUGGGGUAAAGGCCCACCAAGCCGACGAUCCUUAGCUGGUCUGAGAGGAUGAUCAGCCACACUGGGACUGAGACACGGCCCAGACUCCUGCGGAGGCAGCAGUGGGGAAUAUUGGACAAUGGGCGAAAGCCUGAUCCAGCAAUGCCGCGUGAGUGAUGAAGGCCUUAGGGUUGUAAAGCUCUUUUACCAGGGAUGAUAAUGACAGUACCUGGAGAAUAAGCUCCGGCUAACUCCGUGCCAGCCGCCGCUGUAA
rnacentral:rRNA from 1 species